rnacentral:rRNA from 1 species
AUUGAACGCUGGCGGCAGGCCUAACACAUGCAAGUCGAGCGGAUGAAGGGAGCUUGCUCCUGGAUACAGCGGCGGACGGGUGAGUAAUGCCGAGGAAUCUGCCUGUUUGUUUGGGAUAACGUCCGGAAACGGGCGCUAAUACCGCAUACGUCCUGAGGGCGAAAGGGGGGGAUCUUCGGACCUCACGCUAUCAGAUGAUCCUAGGUCGGAUUAGCUAGUUGGUGGGGUAAAGGCCUACCAAGGCGACGAUCCGUAACUGGUCUGAGAGGAUGAUCAGUCACACUGGAACUGAGACACGGUCCAGACUCCUACGGGAGGCAGCAGUGGGGAAUAUUGGACAAUGGGCGAAAGCCUGAUCCAGCCAUGCCGCGUGUGUGAAGAAGGUCUUCGGAUUGUAAAGCCCUUUUAGUUGGGAGGAAGGGCAGUAAGUUAAUACCUUGCUGUUUUGACGUUACCAAAAGAAUAAGCACCGGCUAACUUCGUG